GCUCACACAAUAAAACUAUCAUACCUAAUUCAGCACAACUGGCAAGCUUUUGAGAGAAGGGCCUUGCGUGCAGGCUGAUUUACGGGUUAACCCACCAGAAGGUACUCCCUGUAGGUCAGGUGUGAUGAGGUCAUUGACAGGGCAAUAGCGAUGAAGUUUCUGACUGUAAAUUCCCUGUGUUUCAAAAGUGGUAACAGACAACUAUAAACAAUUUGGAUAAGUGUCCCCCAUAACUCAAGAAAAAUAUUCUUAUUUUAUGUACUGCGUAAAGGAUUGCCUUCUUUUCUUCCUUUCCCUUGCCAUAUGUGUAAAAUAUGGCUACUAGAACAGAUUUGCUCUCCACACUGACAGAAGUUUGAGACUAUCUUCUUAGUACUUUCAAGUUCAUUUGCAAAAUUUGGUGGAGAUUGCUUCAAUUAGGGUCAUCUGGUCAUGUAUCCCUUGAUCCUUUGAUCACCAAGGCAGAAAUACCAUGUUGGUAAUCUCUGGGCUACCAUUUGGGUUAAUGAAUCGGCUUGACUUUAAUUCCAGCCCAGAUGUAAUCUUUUAUAGCUUAAUGAUUUGUUCUAACAUGAACUCCAAUUGAAUGUAAACAGUUUCUUUAUUUAGAGUGAAAAAUCUUUUUUAUAACUUGCUUUUCUUCCUAAUUAAUUCUAGAGCAAUUAAAUCAAACCUUGAUCUGUGGCAAUCAAGAUUAAAUCAUAGUAUAGGUUAGGCUGCUAAUAUCGUCUUUGAGUUCAUUAUUAUCAAGGCUAACAGUAAUCAGCAAAGGAGGGAGAAACUGAUGUAGCGAGGGUUGCAGAUCUGAGGACUUGCUCUCGUUUUUAAUAGCUGAUCUGAUUUAAUGUAUGAUAAUACUUGUACUUAUUUAGUAACUGUUUUCCAAGGAACUCAACAUACUCUCCCAAAGUUAAUUUAUUCUCACAACACUGAUGCGCAGGAGGUAAAUAUUAUCUCCCAGGGACACAGAGAAGUUUUGGGGCUUAGAAGAGUUAUGAGUUGUAUACAGUUGCAGUUUCAGGCCCAAAUCUCAACUCCAUUAACAAAUCAUUAGCCAAGAGCCUCAUUGUCGUAUCUUGUUCUGCCAAGGAAGGAAUGGCACCUCAUCCACAAGCACUCACAAAACAUCCUGAAGAAAAUGGACUUGUUGGGCAUUGUAUCCAUGCAAUCCUCAGAGUUAAAAACUGUCUGUGCUAUUAGCGAGCUGCCUCAAUAGCUGUCCCUACAUCACAAUUCCUCAUGAGGACCUGCCAUGUCAAGGUCCUCAAAUCAAGAAGGAUUUGCAUUCCCGGAGAUUAAGAAAAUUUGUUUGUAAAUUGUUAACAAGAUGGAGGCUGGUGAAUUAGACCCAUGUUGUAGUUCUUCUUAGUUCUGCCUAAAUAAUCUGGCUUGCCAUUACUACCAUGUACCCUGUACCUUCUCUGCAAAUCAUACCAAGGUCAAAAGGACAAUGAAAAGAACUCUUCACAGCCUUGAUGUCCCAAAUCAAGGCACUUGAUGUCCCAUACCAACCCCAGCUGAACCAGUUAUCUGACUGCAUCCCUGUAUAAAAUUCUAUUAUCUCAUGCUGUGGCAGAUUAAUUCUGACUGCAGGAAACUCCUGCCCAUUUGGGUCAUCUCUGCAUAGUAUAGCAAUGGUGUGGAAGGGACUGAAUCACCCACGUUCAACUGCCAUCAAGGAAAACACAGGAAAGCAUCACAAUGUUGUUUGUACUCCAGUUAUAUAUUAGCUCAGGAAAAAAAAAAUUACAGCAGUGCCAUUUUCAAUUCAGUGUUAUGCUGGAAAGGUUGCAAAUUAAUUAGAAUUAUGCCUUCUUUGUGCCAAGUGAUAAUUUACUGCAAUUAAUUAUCAAAAGAUCUACUGCUGUCAAUUACGGUACUUGCUCUUUGCGGGGGGAGAAGCUAUUUACGUAUAGCUGAAUUCUGUAACAAAGUUCCAUGUUACUUUUAUUGUUUUCAAUUAAACUAUCAUCAUUUGCUUUCCCUCUGCCAAACACAAUAAAGACUUGUUAAGAACUAAUCAUGCUACUGUGACCUUUUUUUUAAAUCCAAACACUAGCUAGACCUGCACUGAGUCAACACUCCUAUUGUUACACCUGCAAAUUGUACAUAGAGAGGAGCAUACUUCAGAAUUAAUGAGCACAGCUGUGGUCUCUCUUACAUUCAACACUUGUAAAAUAGACCUCUUUAAAGUGCCAUUAUCACAAUAUUGAUAGAGUUAUUUAUAGUACUGCAAACGUUCCCAGUCAUAACAGAGUCCUUGUUAUCCCCCACAGCAGUUCAUGUUGUUGCCACCUCCUGGACUCAUUCCACAGUAUGCGAUAAGGCACCAGGUGGACAAUCCUUCACAAAUGAACUAUAAAAGACAUUAGGAAAACUUCUACAUAAGCAAGUUUUAUAGCUGGGAAUAGGUCAAGCUGUCAAGAUCCAGCCUGUGUAAGACUUGUCAUCUUCCUCUACUGUAUGAUUUCCCAUAUCGUUAAAUGAUAUAUAUGUGAAAUGAAAUUACAGGCGCCUCAAGUUGCAAAUUAUCUGGACAGUAUUGUCCAAAUUAGCGCUGUUUUUUGCAGUUACUAAUACUGUUUUAUCAUAACUCAGUAAAACAGAUGUAAGUUCAAACUCUUGGUGUCAGUCGCUGAAAACAAAUAUCACAGGUGCCAACUUUGGUUGCUAAGGGAAUGCAAGCUUCUUGGGCUUCACAGUAUGUGUGCAAACAGCUAGAGAUUGUCCAAGGCAGAGGUUCUGCUGUCAGCAGGAAGGUAUUUGCCUUUUUCAGGUGUCGUAUUAGUCAGCUUGGGCUCCUGACACACCGUGGAGUUAUCAGCCAAUCUGAUCCAAACAAAGGCAGCAGGAGACCUCAUCAGAGCAAGUUCUCCCACCUCAUAACUCCAGCACUGAGCCUUUAUUUGUGAUAUUACUCUUACUGCAAUCUUUCAUAUUAUUCUAUGGUUAGGUUUUGUAAUGUUUGGGUCUGUGUCCCUCUAAGACCAGGACGUGUCUCCAGAGCCAGUAGACAAGUGACUGUGGAAUUCAGCACAACUGCUACAACCAUAUGAGGAUUUCCAUGUUCUGCAAACAGCCGUGUCUUGAAUUUAGUAAUGGGGGGCUUGAACCGAGCAUGUCUCUUUUGUAGAUAAGUCACAGAGUUAUGUCACUGCGGGAACAUCAGAGGUCACAGAUUGAGGAUGAGCAUGGCCAUCUUCAUGGAUUUUCCCUCCUGCUCAUGCAAGUGGAGGAGGAACAAGUCUGGGGCAAGUCUUGAACCUUACAGCCAUUACUACUAACAGCUUCACUCCCUCUUUCUCAUUCCAAUGCUUUACUUCUCCUGUUAUAGGGCAGGAAAUAACUUUGCUUCUGAUGCACUGUCCCUUAUCCAAGACAAACCAUUUUAUCGUAAUUCUCCCUUGGUUUUGGAAAGAAUUGCAGAAAAACCACAAGUCUCUGAAGAGUAAAAAUUCAACAAACACAUUACUACUUAUGAAUUAUUUCCCCAGAUCUAUCUUUUUCAUAUCUUAAGUGCUUUGCAGCUAAAACAUCAGCUCUAAAAUAAACUAAUAUUCUGGUUUUGCUCUAAAUUAAAGAGAAUGCUUGCAUUGUACAAGACAGCUCAGAGAGCUCACCUAGUAAUGCUUUACUCUCAGGUGUUAUUCGUUCAGGCCUCACGCAGGCAAGUAGACUUGGGUUGUGAUUACCAGCUGAUGGCUGUCUGGGUUAUGUGAAAUCAUUUGCCAGCUGUCCUACAUCCCUGGGGAAGAGAAGAAGGAAGGUAGCUCUAGCUUUCCUUAAGAUGUGGACACAUGUUCAGUACAAAUUACUCUGAAAUGAGUCAUUAUUUUCCUAUGGCUAACAAAUAAUAAUGAUUCAACAUUUGCAUGUCCCUGAAUUGCAGUGGAGUGGGAUUACAGAUGGUACAAGAUGCAUUAGUUUUACAAAACAUAUUGAAGAUUUCAGCUUUGUGAUGGAAAGUGUUCUGUCAUCGCUUAACUUAUAUGCAUCUGAAUACCAGCAUAGUGGGGGAGCCUGGAGAUAUGAGAACCACUAAAGAUGCAGAAAAUAGGUACACAGAAGUAAAAUGCAAAUUUUCAAAUCUCAGCUUUGCAUUCAUUUUUGUAAGAACUGACCAGCAAAGAUCCAACCAUCCUGCCCAGAAAGUCUAUGAUGGGGCCCCAGACAGACCCCAAAUUGUGUUUGUACAUUAAGUCCCACUGGCAAGCAUUAGUGGGAACUGCAAUCAUGUAUGGAUGUGUGAAGAGCCCCAGUGGGAGCUCUGUAAGGUAGUGUGUGGCUAUGCAGAGAUCACUUCAGCCACCACAGUAAAAUAAUCUAUGGGGAGAAACCUUGAAGAAUGCUGUGGAUAAAUCAAAUAAUUUAAAGAAACUGUCACAUGAUGGAGGUUAAAAAAGAAACGGGGAAAUAAAAACAGUGUUAGAGUCCAUUCACUGAGCUGAACAGUAAACAAGAACUAGUCUUUAGAUAUUAAAUGGCCAGGACUUUCUGAAAUGGUUCAUUGCUGAGUUCUCUAACUUAGAGAGAGCAUCAGCACGACACAACAGCAAGGGGACCGCAACCAGGAGUUCCAGGCACCCCGGCACCUCUCCUGUCAGAAGGAAGCUUCCCCCAGAGCAACAGCAGUCACAGCUCGCAAAAUCCCUCCUCGCUUCUGCCAAUGCUGACCACCGCAGCUGCAUAAAUAAAUGCUAAGGGACAUCUUUUGCCUACUUAAAACAGGAGGAGCUACUGACAGAUAUGAAGGGCUAAGAACUUUAUCCUGAUUCCUAAGAAUUUUGUUUCUUUGUUUUAUUAUUACAGAAAUAAGGGACAUGGCAAAAAGGUCUCACUGACAAGGCGUGAGUUAAGAAAAGCUCUGAUAAGUAUUGCUCUGCUGAAGAAUACGGUACAUGAAAUGGUGGCAGCUCUGCAAUAGGUCAGUGAUAAUGAUGCUCCUGAGGUUAUGCUACACUGACAGCAACCCUAUAAAUGUCAAAGCCUUGCAGAAUCUCCCUGGGAAAAGCCUCCUGCUACCUGACAAGCCUCUGGCAGCCAUUCUGCUGGGCAACAAAAAUCUCUAAAGAGUUUGUUCUCUUUCUGCAGGCAAACUUCAGGUUUUUCCCCGAAGCCAUUGCCUAGUUUGAAAUUCUGCCGUGGUUUGGUGGAUACCGGUCUCACUUACGCUUAGAUGAAAGAACAAAACCUUUCCUGACAGUUGCACAUAAAUAGGUGUAAUGAACAAUGAAAUCAUCAGUUAACAGAGCAGACAGCAAACAUUGCUGGAGGGUUUUAGGGUGGUGAUAAGAGCCCAUAUGAACAACCUAAACUGGUGGAAUAUGGAGUGGAUGAUAACUAAAUAACUUGUAUAAAUCAAGUCUAAUUGCAAUCACAAUCAUUGGGUUCUAUUCCUUCUUCUGGUGCCCAUCAUCCACCUGAACUGGAAGUUCUUACAGAGUCUUGUAUAUCCGUGUGUGUCUUGCUGGCUUCAAACUCAGGUGCAAAUUGUUCCAGCAAUACUGCUCUGGUACAUCUGAGGCAACGCUAUCCAUAAGACUGACAGCGAAAGCUCUUAUCUUGUGAGAUGUCCUUUUCCAAUGGUCACUGACCAAUAGCCAACCUAUUAAUCAUGGUAAACCAAGCUUGUUGGGUCCGUGCUGGCCAAAGCACUUGAGAGAAGACAAAAGGCAUCGUGUUCCAGCUGGCACCUGCAAGUAAUUACACAUGGCGAUAGAGGUACGCAAAAGAACAUUUUGAGAACUGAUGCUAAGAAGAAAGGUGCAUUUCUUUUUGGAACAGACUGAACUAUUUUCUGAUCUCUAGGUGCCUUAGGGUCUUAGAAAUCAAAGUAAAUAAAAUCACUUGCCAGAUGUUCAUCUGGAAAAGUGACAGAUCUUAAGUUACUUUUCACCAGUUCUGGAAGCUGAUUCCACUUCCCACGCGAUACCAUAUUUUAUAAAGCUAUUUUAUCAGCAGUGGUGCAGGGCAAAUGCUCCAAAAUCAUAAGAAAACUGAAUAUGGGGGCCCACCUUUUUUCCCAAAGCAUUUUAUCUACCUGCCACCACAUCUUUCUGUCUGUCUCCGAUGUCUGAGGAUAUCAGGACAGAUACGAUGCCUAGUAAAAACCAGACAUAGUUUUAGGAGAAUCUAAAAUGUGGUGGCUGCCUCUUUCCUGAAAACAUCCUGAAGAAAGGAAGGAAGAAGAUAAGAUGACUCCUCUGGACAGUACCAGGCAGACACAGCCAGAGUUUCACCGCUGGAAGAUAAACUAUCCCCAUCAGACCACUUUCCAUUGAAAGAAAGGAAGAAGACCAAUUUAUGAUCACAGCUUGAGAAAUAAGUCUCCUUCAUAUCAUAACACCUCAUCCUGGACCUGACAGUUGUUUCAAAGAUAAAGAAAUCCCUCAGACUGCGCCUCUCCCAGCAAAUCAUUUCAGCUUGUGUUUCGUUUUAACUUUCUGAGUAGAUCAGUGGGACAAUUUCCUGCGUAGAGUUAAUUGCCAGCACCACUGCAAGCUCAAAAGGGCAGGUCAGCAGCCACUGGAUUGAUCUCUGCCUUAGUGCCUGAGACCAUCUAGCUGUCCAGGCUCUGCCGUCAGUGACAUUUCUGUGCCCUCCCAACUUUUGGCAUCUGAGUUACCAUUUAAUAAUGCUGCCCAAUGUCAUUUUUUGCUUUGGCGUUUUAUUGAAUUACCAGUAUCUCUGGGCACCUCCAUCUGUAAAAUUGGUAGAAACAACUGACACCUGGUAGUUACGUUUCAUGGGCUAACAAGUUUAAGAGCAGAAAGGGUCGUUCCAAGCUUUUACUCUGACCUCCUACACAGAAUCAGCCUGUGCUUUUUGAUUUUAUAGCAUUUAGAUGCCAGUUUUCAUCUCACACAGCAGGUAUUUAGGCAAAGUUGAGCUGUGCAUAGUCUGAAUUUAGACAGAAGGCCCCCAAGAAGAUGCUACAGCUGAAGGAAAUCAGAUGAAGCCUCUGCUUCUCUCCCUUCUGCAAUACACUCAGCUAGGACCAGAUGCACGGUGUGGUGGUAUCGUAGAGCCUCCAAAUGUUUUAUGAUUGACUGUGGUUUUGUCAGUUCUUGAGCUUUUCAGAGGAAGGAGAGAGGACUCUGUUUGUAGAAAGCGAAGGAUGCAUAGGAUACAUGUCUGGGAACUGCUGAGGCAGGUAUGUAAGGUCAUAGAGACAAGAAGCUGUGUGAGCAGCCAGACAAGUAACUAUCAGCAUUUUCUCAUGGGAAUCGAUUGCUGAGGCAGUACUGCUUCAGAGAAAGAGGUCUGGGGUGAAUUUUCAGCCUAGCAUUCUGUCUGUGACCUGCUCUGAUGCAGGACUAUCUUAUUCACACUGCAAAUAAAAGAGAAUUCCAGGCAGGAGAUUCCCUGAGCUGCGAUCACUGCUUCUCCUUCACUGGAGAGCAGAGGCACCAGGCUCCAGGAGCCAGCUGCUUCCAGCCAGCAGGCAGCAAGGGGCAACCCAUCUGCAGCGUGGGGCUGCCUCUCAGUGCUUUCCCAUAGCUCCACAUCCGUGUAGAAACCCAGUCCUUACCUUUUGAAAUCAUUUGUUAUUACAGAUACAUAAACGUAUUGUACUUGCACACCUGGCCUGUGUCUGUAGAGCCCAUGAAAUGUGUUAGACUUGUUAUUACUUGAUUAGUCCUUUGCACAGCUGUACGUUCCUGCUCCCAAACACUUAAGAAACAUUUCUGUUGAUGUGCACAGGCUCACAGCUUUGAAGCCUAGAGAAAGUCCCUCGAUGUACUACAAAUCACUAUGUGCUGUUGUGCCAGCAUUAAAUGUAUUAACUUGUGUUUGGUUACAGCAGCUCUUCUGGUGUACUUUGAAAAUGUCAAAAACCUCCGUACCGACUUUGUGCCUUGCAAGUUAGACUUCAGCCAUUUCUGCUAUUCAAAUCUAACUUCUCUCUUGAGUUUGCUCGACUGGCUUGCAGAUAGCCGUUCUUCUCUGAAAGAUUAAGAGUUUCAUCAGUAUCUAGCAGAUGCUUCCAGAGUGAUCUCACAGAUACAUCCGUGCACAUUACACCCAUGUCACGUCUCAGCCUUCUUUCCAGUAAGCUAGGCAGAUUGAGUGCUUUAAGUCUUCCACCAUUAAGCACUUCCUUCAGCCCUGAAAUCCUCUCUGUGGCUCUUUUCUGUACCCUCUCCACUUUUCCAACAAUCUUUUAAAACUGCGAGCACCAGAAACUGCAUAAUCUUAUAUUGUCUGUAUUAAAACCAAUUGUGUUUGAAUGGGCUCAGCUCAUCAAGCAAUUGAGAUCACUUGGAGUAUCAUUCUCAUCAUUGUCUGUCACUCCACCGAUGUUCCUGUCAUCCUCAAAUUUAUCAGCUGUGAAUUUACAGUGUUUACAUCCAGCUCAUUGAAGAAAACAUUAACUAGCAUCUGACCUGAUGCUGAUCCUGGUAAAACUCUCCCAUUUGAUAACGCUUCCUGAUUCAUAGCUAGCUUUUAACAGGCUGUUAGCCAAUUCCUAAUCUAAUUAGUGCAUGCUCUGUUGCUAUUUCUAAUGUUUUUUGAUCAGAAUAUCACACAGUGUUAAUUCUAAUCUCCAUAAAAAAUGAAUAUCGCGUCUUUUCAUUGACCUUUAUCAUUCAGUCUUUACCUUCAUCAUAUUAUUUGAUGCGCCUCAUCAAAGAAAGAAAUUGGGUUUGUCUUAUAAGGCUUAUUUCUCCUAAAAUUGUAUUUACUACCAUUGAUUAUAUUUCCAUUCUUUAUUGUUUCGAUCCCGUGGCGGCGAUUUCAAUAUAGGGUAACAGCUGAUGUGUUACAGGCCUGUCUGUGGGGUCUGUGCCUGUUAUAAACCCAAGCAAAACUAUUCCUUGAACCCGCUCCUUGAAAACUGAUACUCCUCAUAGCAGCGGCUCGUUGUUUAUUUAUAUUUAUAUCAUCAGGUGAUUAAGAAUGGCUACUUGCCAUGCGUAAGCUGCAAACAAACUACAGCACUAUGUGUGUGUUCGCUCCUAUUCCCCGCCUCUGCUUUCCAAGCGCUUCCCAGUGACCACCGGCACGGAAAUCAUUGCAACCCUACAGCUCCAGAGAGAGCUCCGUGCCUCCUGAAGCAUGUCUGAGGAGAACACCGUGAAAGGGACGAUGAUGAAAUAUCAGCUAUCAUGUAACUAUCUACAAGUUAGAUUUCUACAAAGUGAUUCCACUGAAUUGUAAUUAAGGGUUUGAAAGUCGAAUGAUUUUAAGUGCUAGUUUUAAUUACCGCUUGGUGAACUUUAGUGUGUUAGAAUUGUCACAACUUUCCUUUAGAAUUAGUGUCAAGCCAGGCAAUACAGUGGGAAAUUAUUAACUCAUACUUUGGUUCAGCAAUUAUCUGCAUUACAAGGUUUAUGCAAUUAGCUGUUUAAGAUGUCAUUAUAUUUUGCCAUCUGGUACACAGGAGUUUAUGCAUAUGAACAGGCACGUGUUGAAGUGAUUUUCACUAUAUGACUCUUGAUCUCAACCCAAAUCAUCACUAUAAUGAGUGGAAGACACAGUGUACAGUACAUUAGUGGCAGGUGCAUACUAUCAACUUCAUUUUAAUAGAAGACUUUCAUGUUUCCAUUUUUAAAGUAUUCUGCACAAGUGCUGAAAAAUUAAUUGCUCGUUUGCAAUUUAGCAAAAACUGAAGACAUGUUAUUGCUAAAUGCUAAGGAAUAUCAGUUUUCAGAAAAGAGGCCGCUAAUUUAAGUUCUUUCCAUCUGUAACUUUGGGCCAAUUUCUGCUUGAGACAAUAAGAAACUCUCACCAAAGUUCAGCUUAAAACACGCUCUCAUUUCGCAGUGAACAUGGCGAGCUGCCUUUGAUAGUCUCGGGGCACCAAAGCUAUUGCAGAGUGAGCUGCAGGGAUGCCUUCAAACAUCCCAACAUCCCAUGUGCAGCAACCUACAAUGCUGCGGGUCUCAGCCUAUGUGCGCGGUGCUGUGAGCCACGUCCUCACUCUUCUUCCAGCCCGUCUGGCCGCAUCGCUCUGCCUGCUGGCUCACAGCUGAGGCAUGGAUUUAAAACUGGGGAGGAGAAAAGGUACUGCUGUCAACAAGGAGAUCUCUGCUGCCAGGCAGGACAAAAUGUAAAUAUUAGUAAUGACAUCACUGCGUACUUAGAUAAUACCUGGUAUUUCUGAUGCAUACUGAGUCUGGCGUUCUAAAAAUAUUUGGAAUCUUUAAUUUAUUAAAUUGCAUGCAGAUAUUAGCCUCGUUUGACACAAGGAGACCGGGCUCUGCAACUGCAGGAGACCUCCCCGGGCACGGGAAGGCUGUGCAGAGCCAUCAGCGGGACUGUAUUCGAGCGAGCGUCAGUGCUGUCCCCUAUAAGCAGGCUGUAGCUGCAGUCCUAUUGUUUAGCUGUAAAAGCAUUCAGUAGUUUGGGGCAGAAUGAGGGUCAGGCAUUAGGGAGCGGAGAGGACAAUUCCAGCCACUUUCUCCUCCCAGAUUUACUAAGUGCUAAAAGGACAGCUCGUAACACAAGUUGCGCUGCUCUGC